rnacentral:rRNA from 1 species
UACGUAGGGUGCAAGCGUUAAUCGGAAUUACUGGGCGUAAAGCGUGCGCAGGCGGUGAUGUAAGACAGAUGUGAAAUCCCCGGGCUCAACCUGGGAACUGCAUUUGUGACUGGCGGGCUAGAGUAUGGCAGAGGGGGGGUAGAAUUCCACGUGUAGCAGUGAAAUGCGUAGAGAUGUGGAGGAACACCGAUGGCGAAGGCAGCCCCCUGGGUCAAGACUGACGCUCAUGCACGAAAGCGUGGGGAGCAAACAGG